UACAAGUUAAAAUUUUCGUCUUCCAAUCGCCUUCAAGCUAUGCACCUGCCUGAAAGGAAAAGGAACGGGAACGCUUCUGCAUGGAAGCUCGCCACAACGUGUUUCGGUUUCACUGCGUUCACAUCGAUAGGGUUCAAAUGUGUUCUCCGCGCCACCAUGAGGGAACAGCCGAUACACAAUCUUCAACCGAAUCGUCGUGUCUUCCUUCCCAUGCGUUCAACCAUCGCUAUCGCGGUUUGAUGGUGUUUUCGCGGUUUGAUGGUGUUUUCGCGGAUUCACCGUUCGUCAACCAAUCAUGGCUCGCAUUGACAUAGGCAAUAAGACCCACUCGAAUCCAGUACAACAUCGCUUUCGUCGAAAUCAGCUCACCGUCGUCGUAUGUACGAACAAGGGAAAAUGUGGAAACGCAAAUUCUUCUGUUAUUGUUGCGUCGAAUUGUGCGGAAACGCGAGAUUGUGUUUGUUUGACUUCUUGAUGAACUGAUUGUUGAUGCGUGAAUUCUGUAAUACGAGAUUGCGUUUUGCGGAUUUGGAGUUGCGAACCAAGAGACAGGAGGGAGAGGACGGCGAGAAGCUUGUUGAAGGUUCUGUUUGCAGGUUCCUCAAGGAAGAUUGAGAGGGUUGAUGAGGCUUUUGACAGGGAAGGAAAUUGGAUUUAUGACAGUGAAGAAGAUUGGAUUCUUUUGGGCAUGAAGAAAGAUGAAGGCGUUGAAGUUAUUGAAGAAGAAGAUUGGUGUCUACAAAAAAUCCUCAGAAUGAGGCUUGAGGUGUUUAUAUAGAGCACUCAUCCUAACCGAUUAGAGCAUCCCUUUGGACAAUCAUGUCAGUUAGUUAUUCUGUUACGGGUUGCAUUGAGGACAUGUGAUGUGUUAAUGGAUCGUAGAGAUAACUUGCUGAACUGGUUUUGCUUCGAACUGCAGAUUUUUGUUAACUUUGAAAUUUCCAUUUACGGGUUGCAUGUCAUGUGUCGUUUGUGGAAGUGGCUGUUAAGGAUCAACAUGAUGACUUGCUAGUGCAGGAUCGUAUAUGGUGAAUUAUUGUUACGAUAAGACGCAUAUGCACAGGCUGCUCCCCUUGGUUGGACUGACCGUAGUGUGAUGUCUUCCUGAAUGGGGUUGAUACUUACUACCAUGAUUUGUUGUGUAAAUGCCAAGCUACUUGGCAAAUUUUGAAUAUUUAUUUAACCGAUGUUAUUGACGUUUGGAAGGUGCAGGUUUAGUGUAUGUUCAGAUGGAAGGUUCUGCUAUGGCAGAAUUUUUUAGGCUCGGUUGGAGGAUUUUUUUUUUUGGAAGAACAGAGAAAAUGGCAGCAGCUUUUUUUUUAGUGGAAGAACCGCCAAGGGUGAGUCCAGGCACGAUAAUGGCAAAUGUAUCAAGAAGACAAGAAAAUCCGGCGUAGAUAAACCACCAAAUGGUGCCGAACGGAAUGUCGUCGGCGUCGGAAGAUCGUCGGAAUCUUCGGUGGGGCUUAGAGGGGACAUCUUUUUUUGGGUGUAACUUAGAAUUGUGCAUGAUUUCGUAGUUAUAUCGAUGCAUUUUUUCAUUGAUGCAUUUUUUCAUUGUUUCAAUUUUCAUUGGUGAUGGUUAAUUGUUAGAGGUUAUGUUAGAAACAUUUUGUUUUGGUUAAUUGGAAAUUAGCUUGUGAUUGAGAAUGCUAA